UACGAAGGGGGCUAGCGUUGCUCGGAAUUACUGGGCGUAAAGGGCGCGUAGGCGGAUAGUUUAGUUGGGGGUGAAAGCCCGGGGCUCAACCUCGGAAUUGCCUUCAAUACUGGCUAUCUUGAGUGUGAGAGAGGUGUGUGGAACUCCGAGUGUAGAGGUGAAAUUCGUAGAUAUUCGGAAGAACACCAGUGGCGAAGGCGACUCGCUGGACAGGUAUUGACGCUGAGGUGCGAAAGCGUGGGGAGCAAACAGG
rnacentral:rRNA from 1 species